ensembl:snRNA U4 U4 spliceosomal RNA
AACUUUGCACAGUGGCAAUAUCAUAGCCAGGGAGAUUUAUCUGAGGUGUGAUUAUUGCUAAAUGACAUUGAACAUCUUUUAUGCGAUUGUGCAUUUGUAUGUCUUCUUUGGAGAAAUAUCUAUU